rnacentral:misc_RNA from 1 species
UUUACUGCUACUCUUAUUUUUGCUGUUUCCAUUUGUUUCAGCUCAACUCCUGUUGAUUCUUUACCAAGAGACUCUUUUAAGUCCAUUUUAGGUGAGGGAAAUUUGGAAUCAUGGAAGGAUGGUGUAUUGCACUCUACAGAUAUGGCACAAGCACCAGGUGGGCAUGCGAGCACACUCGUGCUGGCGGGAAACAGGACGAGAAGGCCAGACUUUCUUUCUGGUUUCCACAAAUACAGAGGUGGAUGGGAUAUUGCCAAUAAACACUACUGGGCAUCUGUUGGUUUUACAGGUGUUGCUGGUAUCAUACUCGCUCUGCUGUGGUUUGUUUCUUUUGGAUUGGCUCUUGUAGUGCAUUAUUGCUGCGGAUGGAAUAUCAAUAUUAGAGACGGAGAUCGACAUUUUUCAGAGAGAAUUUGCCUGAUCGUGCUUAUUAUCUUGACAUGUGCUGCAGCUAUCGGGUGCAUUCUUCUUUCUGUUGGACAAGAUGAUUUUCACGGUGAAGCAUUGGACACACUAAAAUAUGUUGUGAACCAGUCAGAUUACACUGAACAGACAUUGAGAAAUGUAACACAAUACCUGUUACUCGCAAAAACUGUAAAUGUGGCCCAAAUUUUCCUCCCUUCAGACGUAAAAGAUGAUAUCGAUCGCCUAAAUGGAGACCUAACUUCUGCAGCAGAUAAACUUGAGGAGAAAACAAAUGAAAACUCAGGAAAGAUACGAAGGGUCUUCAAUUCUGUGAGGUCAGCUUUGAUCACUGUUGCUGUUGUCAUGCUUCUCAUCUCUAUUCUGGGUCUUUGCCUUUCUAUCCUUGGCUAUCAACACACAAUUUACAUAUUUAUCAUUAGCGGAUGGUUGCUGGUGGCAUUUACAUUCGUUCUCUAUGGAGUUUUUGUCAUUAUUAACAAUGCAAUUUCAGACACUUGUAUGGCAAUGGGAGAGUGGGUGGACAAUCCUCAUGCCGAAAGUGCUCUUAGCAACAUCCUUCCAUGUGUUGACCCAAGAACUACAAACCAGACACUAUUCAAGAGCAAACAAGUCACUGUUGAUCUCGUAAAUAUUGUUAACGGAUUUAUAGACACAUAUGCAAAUUCCAAUCCAUCUAAUCAUGUCAAUUCAAAUUACUAUAACCAGUCAGGACCUGUUAUGCCACGUCUCUGCUAUCCAUAUGACUCACAAUUGCAAGAUCUGCCCUGCCUGGCUGAUCAAGUGUCUAUGGCAAAUUCUUCAACGGUUUGGCAGAAUUAUACUUGCAGUAUAUCUGAGGCCGGAACGUGUACUAGCAUCGGUAGGCUGACGCCCGACAUGUACGAACAGCUAGUGGCAACGGUCAACAUAAGCUACGCUCUCGAACAUUAUGCACCACCACUGCUUAAUCUCCAGAACUGCAAUUUUGUCCGCGAUACAUUCAAGAACAUCACAGCCAAUCACUGCCCUCCGUUGGAACACCAUCUCCGAGUUGUUAAUGCAGGGCUAGCCGUCAUCUCAGUUGGAGUCAUGCUAAGCCUCGUGUUGUGGAUAGUAUAUGCAAACCGCCCCCAAAGGGAGGAAGUGUUUGUGAAAUUACCCUUGCCAAUAAAAGGCGUCAAUAGCAGGAGCAGCAAUAAGAACAGUUCAAGACAUCACGACAACAAUGAUGCAUCAUUGUCAAAUACUAGUGAAGUAUAGCGAAUUAGAAAAUCAACACAAAAUCAUCUUUAUUUCUGUGAGUUCAGUUACAUCCCGUAACAAGGGAAGAUACCAAGAUGGGGCGAAGUUCCAUUUUGAGUUGUAGGAUAGUGAUCAUAUGUGCUGUAUUGUUACUCUUGUAUGGAUGAAGUGUUUCUUUUGUGAAUACAAGUUGGAAAUGAAAUGAAAUGAAAAUUGUGUCUCUAGAGAACCAAAACUUAACGGUGUAUAUGAUGCUGCGCAUUGCUGGGAGGUUGUUCAAACUAUUUAAGGCUGUGUGGGCAUCAUGUUUAGAGCCCCGUUUGGUAUGAAGCUGGCCAAGGUCUAGUUGGUUUAGAAUGUGUGUGGUUGAAUAUUAUCCCCUAAAAGAAAAUUCA